UAAAUCAGAGGAAGGUGCGGGCUACGGUAGGUCAGUAUGCCCCGAAUUUCCCGGGCUACACGCGGGCUACAAUGAAUGGGACAAUGGGCCCCUACCCUGAAAAGGGUUGGUAAUCUCACAAACCCAUCCGUAGUUCGGAUUGAGGGCUGUAACUCGCCCUCAUGAAGCUGG
rnacentral:rRNA from 1 species